UGUGUAUGUGUCCUUUUCCUCUGUAACUCUGCCUUUCGAAUAAAUAAAUAAAUCUUUAUAAAAAGAAUCCCCUCUAAGUCUGGGCACCUAGAGACACCUGCCAUCUCCGUGGUGCCUCCUUGUGCCUCCCAGCGAAGCUUGUCAUUCAGCCUCUCUGGCCCUGUGUUAUCCUUAGAUCUUCUUCCACCCAGACCUCAUCCAUGAGCCCACACGUGCGGUGUGUACGGAUGAGCGCUGAGCCAUUAGCUGUGGUUAUGGUGGAGGGAAACGCCCCCCUGUGUUGCAGGUCAUGGGCGUCAACCCUGUCACACCCCUGAGUGCUUGUUGGACUCAACUCUGGAGCUCUGAGCUUCCGGGGUCUUCCCCCGUGCUUCUUCCGGUGGGCAGGCCUGUGAGUGUGCGUCUCCCCUAUUCAGACAGGAAGGGGAAGCCAGGCAGGGGGUUUCUGGAAAGAGGACUCACAUGCAGGGUAGGGCAAAGGAGUUGCACACGUGUACACUUGUGCACUCACACUCCAGUUCUCAUCAGCUUCAGGGGUGCCCUCAGGCCCCAGAGGGCCGUGACACGCCUCAAAGCUGCUGUGAGCGCCAGCGCAGCUUCCUCAUCCACGACAAGGUUCCUGCUGUGGAGGGACCCCAGGCUCUGCCCAGCCGCCUGGCUGUCAUGCCCUAGACUUUCCUCUUGGCCUACACAGGCAGGACAGGAGAGCGGAAUCGAGUCUCCGUGGUGAAGGCCUUGUGGCCAGUUCUGAACUCGGACUUCUGUGUUCAGAGUCAGAGGCCCCGGAGGUAGAUGUAGGUCUGGGAGCUGAGGUGUAGGGUCAGCAUUUUCAGAUGACUGCAGAGCUGAGGAGUGGCCAGUUGGAGCAGCUGUGGGCCAGGCUGACCCUGGUGUGAGUUCCAGCUCUGGAGAGGAAGCGGUGAACUCUCCACGCCUGUUUCUUCAUCUGUGACGUGAGCCAGCCUUCACAGAGCACAGCUACUUUCCCAUUUUACAGAUGGGGAAACCGAGGCCCUGAGAGGCCGGCUUGGAGCUGAGAUCCAUUGGCUCCCAGGCACCUCCCUGGCCCUGGUGGGUUGGGGGGAAGCUGCUGUCAGCCCACAGGUGAAAAGUACAUGGCAGAUAGGGGGCGAGAAGACGGGAGAGGGUGAGGAGGCCCCCCAACUCCUGAAUCGGGACAAGCAGGGUUGUGAGGAACCGCCCUCUGCUGAGCCUCCCCCCAACACCCCCAGCUUCCCCCAGCUUCACCCACCUCCUCCAAGAGGGUCCUGGUUAGCAGUGCUGUGAGCUGUGACCCCCAUGGCUUAAGAGAAGGCCAACCUGAUGUGAACUGCAACUCCAACACUCACCUCACGCUUCCUGUCACAAAGACUCCCAGUGACAGCUCUCCUGCCACCUCUUGGGGUCCUGCCCACCCCCUGAGGCCAGCGGGGUUGCUCCUCCUUCCAGGGCCUGUGGGUGCUCGCUCUUCCCAGCCCCCCCAGCCGGUCUGCCCCCCGAGACCCAAGCCCCCACUCCUGCUCCAGCUUUGCCUUCCCUGCCUUGGAUCCUGGGGCCUGCAUCACUGCUGUACGAUACGGGUUGGCAAGGUGUGAGACGUGUCAACCAAGCUCUCCUUUUCCUUACACAUAUACUGCUCAGCGACGGCGUUAGAACAACGCUGCCCUCAGCAGGCUUUGCUGCCUGCCCUGUGCCAAGGGCAGAGUUGAGUGAAGGCCUUCCUGCCUCUUCUCCAGGACACAGACAGGGAUGCGGCCCACCCAGUACAGGCAGGAGCCGGGAGGGUGUGGGAGACAGGGAGGUGGGUGUUCACACAGGAUCCAGGCCAAGCACCCCAGCGGCACACGUGUCUGAGCUGAGCCUCACGCCGCAUUUCUCUAGAAAAGGACAGAGGCUUUGGUUCAUUUCCCACCCCUGCUGCUCACCAGCUUGGGGGAGCCUGAGAAAGGGUCUGCCCUCUAACCCUCAAGGACCGAGCUCAUGUGCUGGGGAGCCGAGCGCCAUCCCUGAGCAGCCCUCAGCGUAUGUGGUGACAGCAGUCAGCAUGGCCAGGAGAGAGCUGUCCAUCUGAGGGCAGUGAGCAGAGGCGGCUUGGCCAGGACCCUGGACAGCUCCAAGAGCUGCUGCCCUGGGGGUUUCUUGGUUUUUGCAUCUUUCCCCGACUUCAUCAGCCGCAGGGCAGCUGGGCCUUGCUGUGCUGGCCGUAGGCGCCGUCUCUGGGGGAGGCAACACAGCGCUGCCUAUGGGAGUGGCCAGCAGGAAUGAGCAGGUGGUGUCCCGUGUGGUCAGAGAACAGAGAGGAUCAACAGGAGCUGGAUGCUAGAUGGCGUGACAGCCGCAGCUGGGUCGGGAGGCAGGGAGAGCCAGAGGUCAGCUUGGGGGAUGCUGCCUACUCCUGGGAAUGCCAGGCCCAGAGUUUCCGGUGACAGUUGGGACUGGAAUGCAUGGACUUGUUCAGCCAAUGUGUACCAAGCAUCUCCCCCACAGAGGCACCGAGGUGUUGUGUGGGGAGCACCAGCUUGGGGGCAGUGCUGGGGCCCUGCAGCUCGGUCACUAACUGCGGCCCCGCAGCCCUGGGCAGCCCUCCUGUGAGUGGCAGUAGCCACCCGUAACCACCACCUGGUGAUGGCAGCCCCGUGCCCAAGCCUGAAGUACAUCACCAUGCCCUGUGGGGUUGGUGGUGUUCACCCCAGGUGGUCUCACCCCAGGUGAGAGCCAGAGGCUCAGAGACUCUGAGGAACUUGCCCAAGUGUGCACAGCUGGCCCGAUGAAGCCAGUCUCUGUCCAGAGACGUGGCUGGCUGCCUUUUCCUUAAGCGCUGUGACCACAUCUCUUAACCUUCUCUGAGGCCAGAGCUGUGGGCAUGACAGCAGAGAGGCCCUCUGUCCCCGCCAGCCUCUGAGAUCCUUGCUGUUCCUACACGGUCCCACCCACCCCAAGACUCAGACACGUGCAGCAGGAGGCCGGCUUGGGGGCAGCGAGGCCAGAGUGCUGUGGCCAGCCCAGAGGCACUGCACGCUGGGGAAGUGGCUGGACGGGAGGCGAGGGGCCCACCUGGCGGGCAGGUGGGUGUUCCCGUGUACCCCACCAGCAGGCUGAAGCUAACAGGAGGCUUCUGCGAAUGGUCCCCAGCUGACUGACCAGUGUCCAAAGGUGUAAUUAGUUACAGACCCUGAGAUGAAGUUUUCUUGGAUUUAGGGCGGCCCUAGAUUGAAUGACUCUUGUCCCCUUAAGAAGAGGAGAGGAUAGAGAACGAAGGAAGACAGAGCCAGAGGUUGAAGGGGUGCAGUCACGAUGCAAGGAAUGCUGGGACUACAGGGGCUGCUGAGAUGGGUGAGGCCGGGAGGGUCCUCCCAGAGCCUUUGAGCUGCUGGGGUGGGCAUGCUGGCUUUCCCUGGAGGGCCCGAGGAUGACAGGCUAAGCCAGGGGCUUCUGUGCAAUCCCUCUGCCAGCGUCUGCAGCCUUCCUUGGUCCUUCUGCACCCUACAAGGCAGGAGGGGCCUGAUCUCAGCCCCCAUAGGCAGCCUGGCCUCUGGCCUGUACAUGCACCCCCAGGGACGGCUGUACCAAAUGCCACAAACUGGGUGAGGUAAAACCACAGGGAUCGAUUGUCUCACAGCUCAGGAGGCCAGAAGCCAAAGUCAAGGUGUCCGCUGGGCCACACUCCCUCCGUCCCGAAGCCCAGGGAGAGGCUCCUCUCCAUGUCUUCCACCCACUUCACAUAUUCCUUGGCUUGUGGCUGCGUCACUCCAGUUACACCUGCAAAGACCCAUUUCCAAAUGAGGUCAUGUCCCGAGGUUCUGGCUAACAGAAAUCAGGGUUGGGGGAGCACUUCAGCUGCUGAUCCAGGACUUGGGUAAUAGGUAAGUCGGUCCUCACAUCUCGUUUUGGGAAACUGAGACCAAAGAAAAGAAAUUGCUUGUCCAGGACAAGAGGGAGUUUUUCACAGAGCUGGGCCUAGAAUCUGUUUGUUCAGUACCCAUUUGCCCAGCACUUACCUGGUGCCAGGUAGCCUGCCUUGUGGCAACUCAGUGCCAGUGGGCUGAGCAGGCCCUGGCAUCAAGCAGGUCCGGCUGAGGUCGAGGCUGGCUUUGCAGUGUAGUAACUGCAGACUUGGACAAGUAACCACCCGCCUAGCCUCGACACUGUCUCAUCUGCAAAUUGGGAAUAAUAGCCAUGCUGCACGCUUUUCGAGGCGUGCUUCUGUAACCGAAGGGGAACAACCAUGGGAGGUGCUCAGCACAGCCGUGGAUAAACGGAGCCACUGGGAAAGGCAGAGGUGAGCCAGUGUCCAGGGACGGGAGCACCCUUCACAGCAGAUCUGACCCACACUCCCGGAGUUCUGAGAGAGGGAGGGGAUUGCCUGCACCUGCUGAGACCCCACCUGAGGCCUCAGGCGAGGCCUUUUCCUUUUCUACCGAAGGGGACUCCGUCACUCUGAGCCUUGGAGAUGGAGCACACCUUAGUGCCCUAGAGGGGGCCAUCGGGAGCACCUGUGUGCACAUAUGUGUCUGUGUGCACAGGUGUGGGUGUGUGCAGCUGGGGGCGGGUGCUGCACCUGCUGUUCAGGAACUGACCCAAGAUGGCUUUGGCAGGGCCGCCACAUCACCAUGGAAACAGGUGCUGGGCAGCUCAAACACGAGCAGAAGGCUGAGCUCCCGGGCACUGGGAAGGGCACUUGUGGCAGAGACACCUCCAGGUGACCCGGGUCAUCCCUCUCAGUGCCACUGAGGCCCCGCCCACUCAUUUUCUCUCUUAGAUUUCCAUGCGUACAGAGAGGCAGGAUUGAGUGCUGUGUGUCUUGUUCUAUAACAGUUUUAUUGAGUUGUGAGUCUCACUCCCCCUGAUCCGGUCAGCGGUGUUGAGCACAUUCAGAGUCGUGCAGCCAUCACCACAGUCGAUCUUAGGACAUUUUUAUUUAUUUCCCCCAAAAGAAGUCGCUGUCCACUUCCCCUGACCCAGGGUCCCCCUUAUCUGCUCUGUGUCUAUCCUGGAAAGUUCAUGUUGGUAGAAGCAUUCGCAGGGUCUUCAAAAGCUUGUGGGGGUGGCCAGCACCAGUGGCUCACUAGGCUAAUCCUCCACCUGUGGCACCGGCACCCCGGGUUCUAGUCCUGGUUGGGGUGCCGGUUCUGUUCCGGUUGCUCCUCUUCCAGGCCAGCUCUCUGCUGUGGCCCGGGAGUGCAAUGGAGGAUGGCCCAAGUGCUUGGGCCCUGCACCCGCAUGGGAGACUAGGAGGAAGCACCUGGCUCCUGGCUUCGGAUCAGGGCAGGGCACCGGCCGUAGCGGCCAUUUAGGGAGUGAACCAACAGAAGGAAGACCUUUCUCUCUCUCUCUCUCUCUCUCUCUCUCUCUCUCUCUCUCUCACUGUCUAACUCUGCCUGUCAAAAGCUUGUGGGGAGAGCAUGUUAUGAAGAACAUAGUGUAGAUUUCAGUUAAUUCCAUUUCUCCACAGCCUUUCUUGAGUACCCCUUCUGUGGCACGUGGCCCUCGGUGUCUGGCAUCUGUCACUCAGCACCCUGCUCCCAAGGCUCCAUGUUGUGGCAGGAGUCGGCGCUUCAUUUCUUGGGCUGUGUGUGGGAACGGUCACAUGUCGUGCCCACUCCUCUGCUGAUGGGCGGCUGAGCUGUUUCCGCCUGAUGGCUCAGGCCUAGAGGUGCCGCUGUGAAGGUUAACCAGUAAGGUUUUUGUGUGCACCUUUGUUUUCCUCUUCUUGUAUAUGGAGCCAGGAGGGUGAUUGCUGGGUCACAUGGGACCUCUGGGCGUAACUCCCUGGGGGAACCGCCAGACUCUUCCGCGGCAGCUGCUCCGUUCCACGUUCCCCCAGAAGCACGCGAGCAUCCCACUUCCACGUCCUCACCAGCACUCACUGUCAUCCGUCUUUUUAACCUCCCCGGUGGGUACGAAGCAGCAUCUCAUCACACUUUUGAUUUUCAUGGCCCAUUUGUGUGUCUUCUUUGGAGAAGUGUCCACUCAAGUCCUUUGCUCAUUUUUUUUUUAAAGAUUUAUUUAUUUAUUUGGAAGUCAGAUUUACACAGCAGAGAGAGGAGAGGCAGAGAGAGAGCGGUCUUCCAUGUGAUGGUUCACUCCGCAAUUGGCCACAAUGGCCAGAGCUGCGCUGAUCUGAAGCCAGGAGCCAAGAGCCUCCUCUGGGUCUCCCAUGCGGGUGCAGGCGCCCAAGGACUUGGGCCAUUUUCUACUCCUUUCCCAGGCCACAGCAGAGAGCUGGAUUGGAAGAGGAGCAGUCGGGUCUCGAACCGGCGCCCAUAUGGGAUGCUGGUGCUUCAGGCCAGGGCAUUAACCCACUGUGCCACAGCGCCGGCCCCUUUGCCCAUUUUUUAACAGGGUUGUUUGUCCCUUUAUUGCUGAGCUGUAGGAGUUUUUUAAAUAUAUAAUCUGGAUACAUAUCCUUUAUAAGAUGUAUUAUUUACAAUAUUUUCUCCGCCACACAGUGGGGCUCUUUUAAUGGUCUUUGAAGCACAAAAGUCAUUAAUUUUAAUGAGGUCCAAUUUAUCUUUUUUUUUUCUUUUGUUGCUUGUGCUUUUGGUAUCAUGACUCUAAAACCAUUGUCUAAUCCAAGGUCAUGAAGACUUACGCCUGUGUCUUCUCCUGCGAGUUUUAUAGUUUCCUCUUUGCAUUUACGAGAACGUGGCUUUAAUGAGCUGUCAGCCACAGCCAGUGAGAGGCCCUGUUUUUUGGGGGAGUCUGAGGACCUGUACGGUGCCCACCUCCCCAGAUGCCUGUGGUCCUCGAGCCGCGUCGCCCCCGCACGAGCUUCUCCAUGCACACCACGGGUAGGCCCUCCCCACAGCGUGUCUCUGCAGGUCUCAUCUAAGCCUCGGGGGCCUCUUUCUCUAGCGCUGACUCUGGGCACGCUGGCUGUCUACAUGUCCACUGAACCAGUGGGCCCUUGGCUCCUGCGUGCUCACACAUACAUGCCGCACAUGUGUGUACACACACAGGCACCCUGAGCAUCAGCUCUGUCACAGGGACACAGGACAGUCCUGAGUCACGCGCCAAGUCCAAGGCUGGGGCCAGGCUCUUCGUCAGUGACUGCCACUUAUAGGUGUCAUCCUAUCGGUGAACUGGCAGCCUGCACCUGGCCCUGACCUCACGUAGGGUCACAGAGUGCAUCACGCGCCAGGAGCAACAGUCAUGAGAAGCCACUGGCUCAGCAGGGAGACUGAGCCGUGACCGGCAGCCAGGGCAGUGGAGAAUGAGUGGGUCAGAGCCAGGCUUGCGUGGUUCUGCUGGGCAGGGCUCUGGGGAGACAGCAGAGGACGUGGAGCCCUUGAGUGUGGACGCAGCCCCUGGCCAGCGCCCCUCCAUCAGGCCCAGCCCCCUCAUUCCCACAGGUGGUGCCCAGCCCCAUACAGUCAGCAAGAGGCUGUCCAGUGUACACACAGGUUCUUGUGUUCCGGGGUGUUGUGCAGCUUCCUCUCUGCCUCUGGCACUCCACGUCUCAGUUUCCUUAUCUGUGGAACAGGUCGCAGUGACCCACGGUGUCACACAGAGGAGGGUGGGUAGGUGUGCGGGCAAGCUGCAGACAGGCAGGGCCAGGGAGGCUCUGCCCAGGCUCUCUUCACUCCCUGCCCUGGGACCUCCUCUUCCAGGAAGCCUUCCUUCCCAGCUUGCACUGGCUCCCACUAAUGACAGCUGGCCCCUAUAGCCACUCUCUGAGUCUCAGUCCCAGCAUGCUCUGUGAGCACUGAUGUCACAUGCCCUGCUCGUAGCCACCAGAGGAGCUGUCCUCUCCCCCGGAAGAGUCCUGUUCCGGGCCCCUCUCCUCUCCUCUCUGUGUGUGCCCAGGGCCAACAGCCAGCAUCAGUGGCUGACCUCAGAUCGGACGAUGAUGCCGGGCAGCGAACCCGGCAGGCCAGUCCCUCCCCUCCUGCCGGUGCCUCCGAGCGGUAGGAGCAAAGCGUUUCCCAGAUGUGGCUCCUCACCCGUCCUUCAAAGAAGCUGAAACCACAGCAGGGGCUGGGUUUGGCGCCGUGGCCACCUCUCUGUUCCCUUCCGUGCAGGAUGGUGCUGAGGCUUGGUGGCUUCCAAGAGAAAGAGGCUCUGCCCUGAUGCAGUGGGUGUUUUUCUUUGUUUUUGUUGUUUUUUGUAAAGAUUUAUUUAUGUGUUUGAAAGGCAGAGUUGCAGAGAGAGAGGGAUAGACAGACAUUUUCAACCUCAGCUUUCCUCCCCAAGUGCUUGCAAUGGCCGAGGCUGGGCCAGACCGAAGCCAGGAGCCUCAUCCAGUCUCUCACAGUGGGUAGCAAUGGCCCGAGCACUGGGGCCGUCCUCCGCUGCUUUUCCCGGAACAUUAGCCGGGAGCUGGAUUGGAAGUAGAGCAGCCAGGACUUGAACCAGCACCCAUGUGGGAUGUGGGUGUCGCAGGCAGUGGCUUUACUGCCUCUCCAUGAUGCCAGCCCAGCGUUUUGCCUCUAGGCCUGCAGCUCUGAGCAGCAGGACAGUAAGGUCCUCGGAGCAGCCUGUAUACUUAGACACACACCUCCAUCUAAUUCCUGAUUCUUUCCACUCUUACCCAAGCAGCAUACGUGAGUGUGGAUCCUGAGUGGCCCACGAUGGGCUUCUGUCCAGCUAUGCGGGCAGCACUGGGUCAGAAGCAGGGCAUUCUCAGUGUCCCGCAGACCCCAUGCCCCCUCGAUCCAGAGUUCUGAUACAGCAGCUUCUUGAGCUGUAUUGCACAUGCUGUGUAAUUCACCCACUAAGUGUACAGUGCGGUGGUUUUCUUAGUCUUCACAGAGUGGUGGAACCACACCCACAGUCUAAUUCCAGGAUUUUUUCGUCACCUGUAAAGAAACCCACACCCAUUCGUGUCACUCCUCCUCUGCCCGUGCCGCGCAGCCCCAGGCUGACACUAGCCUGCUCUCCAUCUCUCUGUGGAGUAGCCUGUUCUGGGCAAUUUCAUACCAGUAGAGUCACCAGUAUAUGGACUUUCUAACUGGUUCCUUCUACUCGCAUCCUGUGUUCAGGGCUCUGUCAUGUGGCAUAUCAGCACUUCAUUCCUCGUGAUGCCUGAAUAGCACCCUUUGUACAGAUUCACCAUAUUUUGUUCGUUUGUGUGUUGACAGACAUUUGGAUUGUUCCCACCUUUUGACUGUUGUGAGCCAAGCUCCCGUGAGUGUUGGUGUAUAGGUGUGGGGGGGGCUGUCAUGAGCCUUGCUCUAGUGAGUGUUGGUGUAUAGGUUUGUGUGUGGCUGUUGGGAGCCAAGCUCCCAUGAGUGUUGGUGUAUAGGUUUGUGUGUGGCUAUCGUGAGCUUUGCUGCAGUGAGUGUUGGUGUAUAGAUUUGUGUGUGGUUGUUGUGAGCCAAGCUCCCAUGAGUGUUGGUGUAUAGGUGUGUGUGUGGCUGUUGUGAGCCUUGCUGCAGUGAGUGUUGGUGUAUAGGUGUGUGUGUGGCUGUUGUGAGCCUUGCUGCAGUGAGUGUUGGUGUAUAGGUUUGUGUGUGGUUGUUGUGAGCCAAGCUCCAGUGAGUGUUGGUGUAUAGAUUUGUGUGCGGCUGUCAUAGCCAAGCUCCAAUGAGUGUUGGUGUAUAGGUGUGUGUGUGGCUGUCAUGAGCCAGUGAGUGUUGGUGUAUAGAUUUGUGUGUGGCUGUCGUGAGCCAAGCUCCCGUGAGUGUUGGUGUAUAGGUGUGUGUGUGGCUGUCAUGAGCCAAUGAGUGUUGGUGUAUAGAUUUGUGUGUGGUUGUUGUGAGCCAAGCUCCCAUGAGUGUUGGUGUAUAGGUGUGUGUGUGGCUGUCGUGAGCCUUGCUCUAGUGAGUGUUGGUGUAUAGGUGUGUAUGUGGCUGUCAUGAGCCAGUGAGUGUUGGUGUAUAGAUUUGUGUGUGGUUGUUGUGAGAUAUGCUCCAGUGAGUGUUGGUGUAUAGGUGUGUGUGUGGCUGUUGUGAGCCUUGCUGCAGUGAGUGUUGGUGUAUAGGUGUGUGUGUGGUUGUUGUGAGCCUUGUUCCAGUGAGUGUUGGUGUAUAGAUGUGUGUGUGGCUGUCGUGAGCCAAGCUCCCGUGAGUGUUGGUGUAUAGGUGUGUGUGUGGCUGUUGUGAGCCUUGUUCCAGUGAGUGUUGGUGUAUAGAUUUGUGUGUGGUUGUUGUGAGAUAUGCUCCAGUGAGUGUUGGUAUAUAGGUUUGUAUGUGGCUGUCGUGAGCCAGUGAGUAUUGGUGUAUAGAUUUGUGUGUGGCUGUCGUGAGCCAAGCUCCCGUGAGUGUUGGUUUAUAGGUGUGUGUGUGGCUGUCGUGAGCCUUGCUCCAGUGAGUGUUGGUGUAUAGGUGUGUGUGUGGCUGUCAUGAGCCAGUGAGUGUUGGUGUAUAGAUUUGUGUGUGGUUGUUGUGAGCCAAGCUCCCGUGAGUGUUGGUGUAUAGGUUUGCGUGUGGACCCUUGGCAUCCGCCGGUGAGCUGGAGCCCUCUGAAGGCUUGGAGUGCAAGUACAGUGGUCCCUCCUCAUCCACCAGGAUGUUUCAACUGCCAAACUCAAGACCAUGAAAACGACCUUGUUUACGUCUGUUUUCUUCUAAGAGCUGCAGUUUCAUAAUUUCAGUGGUUGCAUUUUGACCUCUGGCCAUUUUGAGUUGGUUUUUUGGUGUGAGGCAGGGUUCGACUUCAUUAUUUAGCGUGUGGACGUCCAGUUGACCUGGCACUGUUCUUUCCCUGCCAAAUGAUCUGGGCAGCCUUGUCAAAAACUAAUUGACCAUAAAGAUUUAUUUAUUUCAAAGGCAGGGUUUAUAGAGAGAGGGAGAGGCAGAGAGAGGGAGAGAUCUUCCAUCUGCUGGUUCACUCCCCAAUGGCUGCAACAGCCAGGGCUGGGCCAGGCUGAAGCCAGGAGCCAGAACCUUCAUCCAGGUCUCCCACAUGGAUACAGGGGCCCAAGCACUUGGGCCACCCUCCACAGCUUUCCCAGACACAUUAGCGGGAGCUGGAUCAGAAAUGGAGCAGCCAGGGCUGAACCUGUGCCCGUAGGAGAUGCCGGUGCUCAGGCAGUGGCUUAACCCACUGCACCACACUUCCAGCCCUUUGUACUGUUUUGAUACAGGGAACCUGAGUCCUGAGCGUAAUCUUGUUUUGUCUUGACGAUGGUUCUGGUUAUUUGGGGUUCCUUGCAAUUCCUUAUGAAUUUUAGGAUCAGCUUUUCCAUUUCUUUUAUUUGAAAGCGAAGUUACAGAGAAGGAAAGGCAGGGGCAGAAGUGUUCCAUCUGCUGGGUCACGUCUCAGAUGGCCACAGUGGCCAGGGCUGGGCCAGGCCAGAGCUGAGAGCCAGGUCUUCCACAUGCGUCAGGAGCCCAAGCACUUGGACCACCUUCAGCUGGUUUUCUAGGUGCAUCCAGGACUCAAACCAGCACCCAUACGGGUGCCAGCGCGGCAGGCGGCAGCUCGACCGACUGCGCCUCAACGCUGGCCUCAGCUUUUCCACUUCCACCAAAAAAAAAAAAAAAAAAAAAAAAAAGGCUGCUGUGAUUUUGAUGGGAAUUGUGUUGAUCUUUAGGCUGCUCUAGGGAGAAUCAUGUCUUUAUGACAUUGAAUGUUCCAUCUAUGGACAUGGGAGAGCUUCCCGCUGUAUUUAGGUGUUGUGUGUUUUUUCCAGCAACAUUUUUAUAUUUUUUGGUACACAAAUAUUUCACCUCUUUGGUUAAGAUUAUUCCUAGGUAUUUUGUUCUUUCAAAUACUAUUAUAAUUUAUUUCUUAAUUUCCUUUUUUUUUUUUUUGAAGAUUUGUUUAUUUGAAAGAGUUACAGAGUUCACAGAGGAGAGACUGAGAGAUAGUGAGAGAGAGAGAGAGAGAGAGAGAGAGAGAGAGAGAUCUUGUAACCGUUGGUUCACUGCCCAAAUGGCCAUGAUAGCCAGGGCUGGGCCAGGCUGAAGCCAGGGGGCCGGGAGCUCUACCCCAGUCUCACGUGGUGCAGGGGCCCCAGCACUUGGGCCAUCUUCUGCCACUUUCCCAAGCAUAUUAACAAAGAGUUGGGUCAGAAGUGGAGCAACCAGGACUCAAACUGGCACCCAUAUGGGAUGCCAGCAUUGCAGGUGGAGGCCUAACUCACUACACCACGGCGCCAGCCCCAGCUUUCUACUUACUCUUUCUCAACGUGGAUGCCUCUUGUGUCUUUCUCUUGCCCAGUCGCUCUCCGGAGCCUGCAGAAGUGAGAAAGUGGGCGCCCGUGUCUUUCCUGACCUUGAGGAUGCUCAGCCCUGACAGACAGCAGCCAGAGCAGAGAUUUGUUUGUGCGGUGCUGGGGCCCAGAGAGGGAAUCCAGGGCCCCUUCAGACGCCUGCCCAGGGCCUGCGGCUCUUGGAGCCUGGGACUGGGUUCCGAGAUCCUGAAGUGGCCUGGGAGGAUGCAGCCUUGCUGGCCAAAGCGCCGUGCCCUGCCCCACACCAGGCUCUCUCCUGAGCCCUUGCCUUGCGCGGGGUGCUCUGGCCCCUCCACCACCGCAGUGCUUUUGUCC